UUUUUAUUCUUUGAAUGUUUUAUUUUUUUCCUUAACCCUUUUAUAAAAGUUUUAUUGAUUUUUGAUCUCACUCUUCAAUUCAGGUUUAUGGUGUGCUAUUUUUUUUAAUUUUUCCUCAUUCUUUCAAUUUUUUUUCUUUUGCUUGAGUUAUUUUUCUUUUCAAAUAAACUCUCCAAUUGAAAAAAAUUAAUUGCCCUCUAAUUUAUUGUUUAUUUUGAUUUUUACCUUAAUUCUUUUAAUUAUCAAUUUUUAUUUUAGAUCUUUUUAGUUUUUUUCGUGUUAUG
rnacentral:lncRNA from 1 species